rnacentral:rRNA from 1 species
UGCCAGCCGCCGCGGUAAUACGGAGGGGGUUAGCGUUGUUCGGAAUUACUGGGCGUAAAGCGCACGUAGGCGGAUUAGUAAGUUAGGGGUGAAAUCCCGGGGCUCAACCCCGGAACUGCCUCUAAUACUAUGAGUCUAGAGUUCGAGAGAGGUGAGUGGAAUUCCGAGUGUAGAGGUGAAAUUCGUAGAUAUUAGGAAGAACACCAGUGGCGAAGGCGGCUCACUGGCCCGAUACUGACGCUGAGGUGCGAAAGCGUGGGGAGCAAACAGGAUUAGAUA